rnacentral:rRNA from 1 species
UACAGAGGUCUCAAGCGUUGUUCGGAUUCAUUGGGCGUAAAGGGUGUGUAGGUGGCGCGCUAAGUCGGGUGUGAAAUUUCGGAGCUUAACUCCGAAACUGCAUUCGAUACUGGCGUGCUUGAGGACUGGAGAGGAGACUGGAAUUUACGGUGUAGCAGUGAAAUGCGUAGAUAUCGUAAGGAAGACCAGUGGCGAAGGCGAAUCUCUGGACAGUUACUGACACUGAGGCACGAAGGCCAGGGGAGCAAACGGG